CCUCGGAUCAGGUAGGGAUACCCGCUGAACUUAAGCAUAUCA
rnacentral:rRNA from 5 species